rnacentral:rRNA from 1 species
AGUGAACGCUGGCGGUAGGCCUAACACAUGCAAGUCGAACGGCAGCACAGUAAGAGCUUGCUCUUACGGGUGGCGAGUGGCGGACGGGUGAGGAAUACAUCGGAAUCUACUUUUUCGUGGGGGAUAACGUAGGGAAACUUACGCUAAUACCGCAUACGACCUACGGGUGAAAGCAGGGGAUCUUCGGACCUUGCGCGAUUGAAUGAGCCGAUGUCGGAUUAGCUAGUUGGCGGGGUAAAGGCCCACCAAGGCGACAAUCCGUAGCUGGUCUGAGAGGAUGAUCAGCCAAAUUGGAACUGAGACACGGUCCAGACUCCUACGGGAGGCAGCAGUGGGGAAUAUUGGACAAUGGGCGCAAGCCUGAUCCAGCCAUACCGCGUGGGUGAAGAAGGCCUUCGGGUUGUAAAGCCCUUUUGUUGGGAAAGAAAAGCAGCAGGUUAAUACCCCGCUGUUCUGACGGUACCCAAAGAAUAAGCACCGGCUAACUUCGUG